CUGGAAUCGCUAGUAAUCGCGGAUCAGAAUGCCGCGGUGAAUACGUUCCCGGGUCUUGUACACACCGCCCGUCACACCAUGGGAGCCGGGAAUGCCCGAAGUCGGUGACCUAACCGGAAGGGAGGAGCCGCCGAAGGCAGGUCUGGUGACUGGGGUGAAGUCGUAACAAGGUAUC
rnacentral:rRNA from 1 species